GAUGAACGCUGACAGAAUGCUUAACACAUGCAAGUCUACUUGAACUUCGGUUUGGGUGGCGGACGGGUGAGUAACGCGUAAAGAACUUGCCUCACAGUUAGGGACAACAUUUGGAAACGAAUGCUAAUACCUGAUAUUAUGAUUUUAGGGCAUCCUAGGAUUAUGAAAGCUAUAUGUGCUGUGAGAGAGCUUUGCGUCCCAUUAGCUAGUUGGAGAGGUAACGGCUCACCAAGGCGAUGAUGGGUAGCCGGCCUAAGAGGGUGAACGGCCACAAGGGGACUGAGACACGGCCCUUACUCCUACGGGAGGCAGCAGUGGGGAAUAUUGGACAAUGGACCAAAAGUCUGAUCCAGCAAUUCUGUGUGCACGAUGACGUUUUUCGGAAUGUAAAGUGCUUUCAGUUGGGAAGAAAAAAAUGACGGUACCAACAGAAGAAGUGACGGCUAAAUACGUG
rnacentral:rRNA from 1 species